rnacentral:ncRNA from 2 species
GCAAUCCUUCGGGGCAGGGUGAAAUUCCCGGCCGGCGGUGAUGGGCACAUGCCCUCAGUCCGUGACCCGUAUUCGUACGGUGGACCCGGUGCAACUCCGGGACCGACAGUUAAAGUCUGGAUGGGAGAAGGAGCCG